GAACAGAACUGGGGAAGUAAGUUUGGCUAAUAUACUGGCUGUUAAUAAUAUAAUAAUAAAGUUAUUAUGAAGGAUAAUCAAUUAUCCGUAUAGGUUAUGCUACAAACAUAGCGUAGUAAAANUAAUUNGCUACNNNNUAUUAAGAGAAANNAUUCUCGUAGACAGGUAUAAGAUCGAUUUNAUCGAGUAAAGUUCUAGAGAAGAACAAAAGAUUGAUGAUGACAAACUUCUUUUCUAUAUGUCUUGACCAAAUUACGUGCCAGCAGUCGCGGUAAUACGUAAAAGACUAGUGUUAUUCAUCUUUAGUAGGUUUAAAGGGUACCUAGACGGUAUAAUUAGUCUUAAACAAGAAACGGUUAUGCUAGAGUUAUAUAUGAGAAGGGGAGUAUUUAUGGAGUAGAGUUGAAAUUCUUUGAUCCCAUAACGACUGGUAGCGGCGAAAGCAACCUUUUAUCUAAUAACUGACGUUGAGGGACGAAGGCUCGGGUCACGAACAGGAUUAGAUACCCUAGUAGUCCAAGCAGAGAAUGAUGAAUGCCAUAGAUUAGAUCUUAAUUUAGUCUAUAAAUGAAAGUGUAAGCAUUUCACCUCAAGAGUAAUGUGGCAACGCAGGAACUGAAAUCAUUAGACCGUUUCUGAAACCAGUAGUGAAGUAUGUUAUUUAAUUCGUAAGUACGCGAAAAACCUUACCACAACUUGAAUAUUAUCUUUUAGAUAUUACAAGCGUUGCACGGCUGUCUUCAGUUAAUGUCGUGAGAUAUUGGUUAAUUCCAUUUAAUUAACGGAAACCCUUGCUUUAUUUGGCUAAUAAGCAGUUCACCUUAUACUGGGAUAUGAUAAUUAGGGCCCAGACAGUCAUCUGGCUA
rnacentral:rRNA from 1 species